rnacentral:rRNA from 1 species
AAAAUUAGGUAAAGUAAAACAUUUUAGUAAUCUAAUAAAAAAUCAAACGAGAUAAUGUAAGUAGUGGCGAGCGAAAAUAUUAUAAGGUAUAAUUAAAUGUAAUAAAAUAUAAAUUUUUCCCCAAAGAAGGUUUAAGACCUGUAGUAUUUUAGAAUUUUAAUUUAAAAUUAACGGAUUAUGAUAAAUUUGUUAAUUAAGGAGAUCUUCCUCCGAGCCAAACAUUUUUAAUGACCGAUAGUGAACUAGUACCGUGAGGGAAAGGUGAAAAGAACCUUGAAUAAAGGAGUGAAAAAGAUCCUGAAACCAUACGCUUACAAGCGGUCGGAGCCCUUUGGGGUGACGGCGUGCCUUUUGCAUAAUGAGCCUACGAGUUACCGUUGCUAGCAAGGUUAAGGACUUCAGGUCCGCAGCCGUAGCGAAAGCGAGUCUGAAUAGGGCGCUUUAGUUAGUAGUGGUAGACGCGAAACCGUGUGAUCUACCCAUGGGCAGGGUGAAGCUGUGGUAACACACAGUGGAGGCCCGAACCGGUUGACGUUGAAAAGUCUUCGGAUGACCUGUGGGUAGGGGUGAAAGGCCAAUCAAACUCGGAAAUAGCUCGUACUCCCCGAAAUGCAUUUAGGUGCAGCGUUGAUUUAUAGUUUUAUAGAGGUAGAGCUACUGAUUGGAUGCGGGGGCUUCACCGCCUACCAAUUCCUGACAAACUCCGAAUGCUAUAAAAUGUUAAUCAGCAGUGAGGGCAUGGGUGCUAAGGUCCAUGUCCGAGAGGGAAAGAACCCAGACCAUCAGCUAAGGUCCCCAAAUAUAUGUUAAGUUGAAUAAACGAGGUUGAACUGCUUAGACAGCUAGGAUGUUGGCUUGGAAGCAGCCAUUCAUUUAAAGAGUGCGUAACAGCUCACUAGUCGAGCGGUUCGGCAUGGAUAAUAAUCGGGCAUAAACAUAUUACCGAAGCUAUGGACUUGUAAAAGUGGUAGGGGAGCAUUGUAGUGUCGUCGAAGGUUUGCUGUGAGGCAUUCUGGAGAAGCUACAAAAGAAAAUGUAGGCAUAAGUAACGAUAAUGCGGGCGAGAAACCCGCACACCGAAAGACUAAGGUUUCCUCAGCUAUGCUAAUCAGCUGAGGGUUAGUCGGGACCUAACGCGAACCCGAAAGGGGAAGUGGAUGGACAACAGGUUAAUAUUCCUGUACCUGCUCACACUAAAAGUGACGGAGGCGUGUAUUUGGUGCGUACUGACGGAAUAGUACGUUGAAGCGAGUAGUAAUACCGCGAUAGUACACUGAGGCUACGGCCAAGGUGAUAAUCCAGAGAAGCGACUUCCAAGAAAAGCGAGUGAAGCAGCCCGUACCCUAAACCGACACAGGUAGUUGGGAUGAGAAUUCUAAGGUGCUCGAGAGAUUCAUGGCUAAGGAACUAGGCAAAAUCGGCCCGUAACUUCGGGAGAAGGGUCGCCCACAGCAAUGUGGGCCGCAGUGAAAAGGUCCAGGCGACUGUUUAUCAAAAACACAGGGCUCUGCGAAGCCGCAAGGCGACGUAUAGGGUCUGACGCCUGCCCGGUGCCUGAAGGUUAAAAGGAGGGGUGAGAGCUCUGAAUUGAAGCCCAGGUAAACGGCGGCCGUAACUAUAACGGUCCUAAGGUAGCGAAAU